AAUGCUCGGGUACCUUCCCGAGCCUCUCACUUUAUAGAGGCGAAGACCCGUCAUCCACCGACCACGUGUCUAGCACGGAAAUCAACGACGUGGUGGUCCGCGCUCGACCACCCGUACGUCCCACCUAUUCCGCCUCAGUCGCGGAAAUAAAUAGUUUGACACUGACGUCCCACCCGACGCGACGUGUUGUGGUCCCUCAUGCGCUUCCACCAAUCGAAUAGCAGGUAUAUUGGCGAGUAAUCCGCUGACAGUUCAUAUAUAUAAUUAUAUAUUUAGAUAUGCUAUCUUAUAGAUAAUUAAUUCGUAGAAAAUUACAAAUAUGUGAUCUGUAUAUUAUUAUAUUAGAACGGGAGAUAAUUUAAACUAGAUGAUGAAGAAUUUAGUGGAGUUUAGAGUGACGUGCGUUGGAAAGAGACAAGAAGAUACGUGGAGAUUCGAACACCAGUAGAUCAAUGAAAUUUCAACCUCGAUGAUCGUGACAGACAGGUAGAUGACAUUAAAGGAUGAAUUGAAACAGAGGACUCGAGAUACGUUGAGGCAACGCAGGAGGGAUGCAAUUUUGAUGAUCCGAAUCUUCGUUAACAUAUAUAUAUAAACUAUUGUCGGAUAUGUUCCUGACAUAGUGAUGGAUGGAAUGGUAUCAGAUAGGGUUGGCAAAAAUUUGACUUGGGAUUGACUCGGUUUUCAUCUAACAAUAAUGAAUUUUCAAGAUGUAUUAGCUUUAGCUAAUAGUCAAGGGAGAUAAUUACAACAUAUUUUUUCUGGGUUUUGGAGGAAUAAAUAUGUUAAUUUUGAAUUUAGAGUUAUGAAUAUGAAAAUUACACAGGAUUUUUUUUCUUCUAAAAAAAAAAUAAAUAAAAAUUCAAGAAAACAUCAUCGAUCUUGCUUUAUCCGAGCUACCGAGGGCGGAGAGCACGCGCAAGGUAGCGCUGAUACCGGCGGAAGACGAUGGUCCUGACGGCACCCAACUCCGCCUUAAUCUACUUGCCUCCUCCCAUUCUUCCCCACCGCCAUCCACAGACGUCCACCACCAUAAGAGCACAACUCAAGCAGCAGCAGAGAAGUAACAGAGCUGUCGCCUCCCUCUCCGUAUCCUCCUCCCAUGUCUCGCUCCCGCCACCUCCACCUACCUUGCUCCCUCAGCGCCUGGGCGCCCUCUGCGCCCAGGGCAGCCUCGACGAGGCCCUCCAUCUCCUCCUCGUCGCGGAACCCGCCGGCUUGCCCCCCCUCGCCGAUGGCGUCGGCCUUCUCCUGCAGGCUUGCGGUGCCCGGGGCGACCUCGAGCUCGGCAGCCGCGUCCACGGCGUCGUCGCUUCCUCCGAGGGCCUUAUGUCCAACCCCGUUCUCACCACCCGCCUCCUCACCAUGUACUUCGCCUGCGGCUCCCCUUCCGACGCCCGCCGCGUCUUCGACGCCCUCCCCCGCAGGAACCUUUUCCAGUGGAACGCCAUGAUCAGCGGAUACGCCCGCAACGAGCUCUUCGUCGAAGCCGUCGACACCUUCUUGCUGCUGAUGUCCGCGACCGAACUCAGACCCGAUAACUUCACCCUCCCCUGCGUCUUGAAGUCCUGCGCGGGCCUGUCGAACAUGUCGACCGGGGAAGCCGUGCAUGGGGUCGCCGUGAAGCUUGGACUGGGUUCUGAUACUUUCGUGAACAAUUCACUGAUAUCGAUGUAUGGCAAGUGCGGUUACGUCGAUGAGGCAGCUCACGUGUUCGAUACAAUGCCUGAGAGAAACUUGGUUUCUUGGAACACGAUGAUGUCUGCUUUUUCCGACAACGCCUUGUUGCAAGAUGGAUUCGAUUUGUUCAAAGAGAUGCUGUCGGUCGAUGAAGAGAGUAUGAGACCGGACGAUGCAACGGCGGUGACAGUGCUGCCUAUGUGUGCGGUCGAUGGAUGGCUUGAGAUGGGGAGAGUUGUACAUGGGAUGUCGGUGAAGUUGGAUUUGGAUCAUGAACUCAGAGUGAGUAAUGCGUUGGUCGAUAUGUAUGCAAAGUGCGGUUGUUUAUCGGAUGCACAAUUGCUUUUUGGCCAUAACCAGCAGAGAAAUGUUGUGUCUUGGAAUGCAAUGAUAGGUGGUGUUGCAAGGAAUGGAGAUGUAGAUGGGGCCUUCGAUAUUCUGCGUGAAAUGCAAUCAGAGGAGGGCAUAAAGGCUAAUGAAGUGACUGUCUUGAAUGUUUUGCCUGCUUGUUUGGGACCAUCGGAACUACAACAUGUGAAGGAACUCCAUGCCUAUGUUAUCAGAAAUGGGCUACAGACUAAUGACUUGGUGCCGAAUGCUCUGAUGGCAGCUUAUGCAAAAUGUGGCUUGCUGGAUUCUGCAGAUAAUAUCUUCAAAGAUGUGGAGAUCAAGACCGUCAGCGCAUGGAAUGCGCUGAUUGGUGGUUAUGCACAGAAUGGUGAUCCAAACAAGGCUAUAGAAUUAUUCCUUCGGAUGUCGUCUUCUGGUUUAGAGCCUGAUUGGUUUAGCGUAGGAAGUUUGCUGCUUGCUUGUGCCCAUCUACAGGAUCUUCUUAAUGGCAGGUCUCUCCAUGGUUAUGUCUUUAGGAAUGGAUUGGAAAAGGACUCGUUCAUUUUGAUUUCACUUCUUUCGCUUUACAUCCAGUGUGGAAGAUCACAGGAAGCGAGGCUCUUGUUUGACACUAUGGAGGACAAAGAUUCUGUCUCAUGGAAUGCUAUGAUUGCUGGGUACCUUCAGAAUGGACUUGCACAGGAGUCCCUCCAACUAUUUCGUCAGAUGCAACAUGAAGGAUAUGAACCUUCUAUCAUUGCAACUACCAGUGUCUUCAUGGCUUGUGCUGAAUUAUCAGCCUUGCCGCUAGGGCAAGAGGCACAUUGCUAUGCGUUGAAGGUUGGCUUCACUGCAGACACCUUCCUCGGGAGCUCAAUAAUUGAUAUGUAUGCAAAAUGUGGUUCCAUAGAGCAUGCCCGCACCUUAUUUGACAAUUUGAAGGACAAGGAUGCUGUUUCAUGGACUGUGAUGAUCACGGGGUAUGGCAUUAAUGGUUAUGGUAGUGAAGCUAUAGAUCUCUAUAAUGAAAUGGAAGGCCAUGGGUUGAAGCCUGAUGCUUUCACCUAUCUUGGUAUUUUGAUGGCAUGCAAUCACGCAGGACUGGUGGAAGAGGGACUAAGGUAUUUUGAGUAUAUGAAGAAUAAGCAUAGUUUGGAGCCAAAAUUGGAGCACUAUGCGUGUGUUGCGGACAUGCUUGGACGGGUAGGUAAAUUAGCUGAAGCAGCAAGGAUAAUUGAAGAUAUGCCAGAAGAACCUGAUGGCAGAAUAUGGAGUGGAUUGCUCGCCGCAUGCAGAACUCAUGGAGACAUAUGCUUGGGGGAGAGAGUCAUCGAGAAGCUGUUAGAAUUGGAGCCUGACAAGGCUGAACAUUAUGUUUUGGCAUCAAAUCUUUACGCAAGUUCUGGGAGGUGGGAUGGUGUUCGAAGAAUCAGAAACAGAAUGAAGGAGAUUGGCCUCCAAAAGGACCCUGGUUUUAGCUGGAUAGAUGUUGGCGGUAGAGUUUUCGAUUUUGUGUCGGGAGACAAUAGACUUCCAGAAUCUGACGAGAUUCAUAGAAUGUGGUGCUCUUUAGAGGAGAAGAUACGCGGUAUCGGAUAUAUUCCUGACACUAGUUCAGUGCUGCAUGAGAAAGGAGAGGAAGAGAAGCUGAAGAUAUUGCAAGGUCACAGCGAGAAGCAAGCAAUUUCUUUUGGACUGCUGAAGACAAGCGGGAACAAGAAAAUAAGGGUGUGCAAGAACAUAAGGAUAUGCAGAGAUUGCCAUAAUGCUGCUAAGCUGGUAUCAAAAGUGGUAGGCAGGGAAAUUAUCGUGAGAGAUAACAAGCGGUUCCAUCAUUUUAGAGAUGGUUGGUGCUCUUGUGGUGAUUUUUGGUAAUGGUUAUGCAUCCUGCCAUAAUUUAGUUUUCUCAAGCAGCUGUCAUGUUGGAGAUUUCAGUUUGGCUGGAAUUCUAGGGUUCCAGUCAUGAACAUUACAAGAAAAUAUGGAAAUUCUUGAAUGGUCCUAUUGAAUAACUCUCAUAUCAGAUCAAUUCCGACACCCAAUUUACAAGCCAUCGCACCCAGCAUGAAGAUUGGUGGCUGCCAAAUUCUCCUGAUGGAUAAAUUUUCAUGUCAUGUCAUCCUGAGAAUACCAACUCGUAUAUUCAACCAUGAAGACAUCAAAAAUCACCUUUUCCUUGCCGUGUAUAUCAGUUAAUUUAUACUUUUUGAGCUCAAUAACAGGCUGCAUGUCAUUUCGACCCAUCCCAGAAGAAAAGAUGGGAGUAGAGUCCACAGCAUCAAUCAUUGCUUCUUUCACACCAGUUAGGUUGGUUCCUUCACUGACCACGACGGGAUGAUCAAAAUCGACUGUAUCAGAUGUCGACGAGAAAUCUGCCGUGUAGAAACGAAGAUCCUGUUGUGAUCAGACAUUUCUUGUCCUCCAAGUUCUUCCGAGACUCCUCUAUGUCAAUCCAAAGGUAGGCUGCCGAAACUUCCACUCUCCUUCCUCCUCUCGAGGCCGGUGCUCACCCCUCGCCGUCCUGCUGAUGUCACUAUCGGCUGCUUCCUGACGUCAGCCGCUGCGUCAAACUGGUAUGCAAUUCAUCUGAUGGGUUCUCUUCAUUAAUAUAUAUUCAUUAUAUAUAUAUAUAUAUAUAUGUUAAUUUAUCGUACAAUAAACGAAAAUAAGCCUGCGCCAAGUCAUCAACCAGUUCUAUUGGUUGCCAUGGCUGUGCGAUACACCCUUUCCCUGCUUGACCAGGCUGGGCGGAAACAAAGGAUCCAGGACAGGUAUUUUUAGUGUCAAUCUUCCCUGUGUUUCCUCUUCAAUGAACAACUGGGCACACAAUUAUUACAGAUACAAUUCCCAUUUUUCUUAUUGUUAGUCUUACGGUAUGAUCCUUCGGAUAUCCGCAUGACGUCUUUUAAUUUGUACUAUAAUUAACUAAGAUGUUCUAUCAAAAGAAAUCUAUAAGAAAAAUAAAGAAAGAUACUCUAUGCUCAA